rnacentral:rRNA from 1 species
UAGGGAAUCUUCCGCAAUGGACGCAAGUCUGACGGAGCAACGCCGCGUGAGUGAAGAAGGAUUUCGGUUCGUAAAACUCUGUUGUUAGAGAAGAACAGCGCAUAGAGUAACUGUUAUGCGUGUGACGGUAUCUAACCAGAAAGCCACGGCUAACUACGUGCCAGCAGCCGCGGUAAUACGUAGGUGGCAAGCGUUGUACGGAUUUAUUGGGCGUAAAGCGAGCGCAGGCGGUCAAUUAAGUCUGAUGUGAAAGCCCCCGGCUCAACCGGGGAGGGUCGUUGGAAACUGGUUGACUUGAGUGCAGAAGAGGAGAGUGGAAUUCCAUGUGUAGCGGUGAAAUGCGUAGAUAUAUGGAGGAACACCAGUGGCGAAGGCGACUCUCUGGUCUGUAACUGACGCUGAGGCUCGAAAGCGUGGGUAGCAAACAGG